rnacentral:pre_miRNA from 1 species
GUGAGAUAGGAAUCAGUGUUUAGAUAUUUGAUUUUACGCUGAUUUCAUCUCAUGA